rnacentral:lncRNA from 1 species
AUUCAUCAUUAAAUCUGUAAGGAACUGGGUUUCGUAAUCCAAUAUAUUUUCUUUGCAGAUUUUUAUUUUCUAUUUGGGAAUAAUAAAAUUUGGAAGUGUUAUAUAUAGAAACCACCUUCUCUUUAAUCUCUUCGUUGAUUUUUGAAUGGCAUUUACUGGUAACAAAUUGUGUAAAUGUGUGAAUGUGUCUGGGGGUGUGUGUAUACGUGUGUAACUGUGUAACUGCUUUCAAUCAAUUUUUAAAGAACAUUCAUUAUUCUAAGUAAUUGCCUUAAAUACUUAAAUUCUGUAUUGAUCCGUAGGUCUGCAGCUCAAUUUGGCUUCAAUUAGUGCUACUAUUCUUGUCUACCUUUCUACACAAUUGCAAGUUUGAUAUAAGGAAAUAAUGAAAAUUCCCAGAGCAGCCACUACCGUUGUUCUCAGAGAUGGGGUCUCACUAUGUUGACCAGGCUUGCAUGCAGUGGAUAGUCACAGAGAAUGUGCCAUCUAGGAAUUUCUUGAAGCAAUUCAUUUGAAAAAA